rnacentral:rRNA from 1 species
AACGAACGCUGGCGGCAUGCCUAACACAUGCAAGUCGAACGAGACCUUCGGGUCUAGUGGCGCACGGGUGCGUAACGCGUGGGAACCUUCCCUUAGGUUCGGAAUAACUCCCCGAAAGGGGUGCUAAUACCGGAUAAUGUCUUCGGACCAAAGAUUUAUUGCCUUUGGAUGGUCCCGCGUUGGAUUAGCUAGUUGGUAGGGUAAAAGCCUACCAAGGCGACGAUCCAUAGCUGGUCUGAGAGGAUGAUCAGCCACACUGGGACUGAGACACGGCCGAGACUCCUACGGGAGGCAGCAGUGGGGAAUAUUGGACAAUGGGCGAAAGCCUGAUCCAGCAAUGCCGCGUGAGUGAUGAAGGCCUUAGGGUUGUAAAGCUCUUUUACCCGGGAUGAUAAUGACGGUACCGGGAGAAUAAGCUCCGGCUAACUCCGUG